UACGGAAGGCAGCAGUAGGGAAUCUUCCGCAAUGGACGAAAGUCUGACGGAGCAACGCCGCGUGAACGAUGAAGGCUUUCGGGUCGUAAAGUUCUGUUGUUAGGGAAGAACAAGUACCAGAGUAACUGCUGGUACCUUGACGGUACCUAACCAGAAAGCCACGGCUAACUACGUGCCAGCAGCCGCGGUAAUACGUAGGUGGCAAGCGUUGUCCGGAAUUAUUGGGCGUAAAGCGCGCGCAGGUGGUUCUUUAAGUCUGAUGUGAAAGCCCACGGCUCAACCGUGGAGGGUCAUUGGAAACUGGGGAACUUGAGUGCAGAAGAGGAAAGUGGAAUUCCACGUGUAGCGGUGAAAUGCGUAGAGAUGUGGAGGAACACCAGUGGCGAAGGCGACUUUUCUGGUCUGUAACUGACACUGAGGCGCGAAAGCGUGGGGAGCGGAACAGGGAUUUAGAUACC
rnacentral:rRNA from 1 species